UCCAACCCUCCUCCUUUUACCCCCAAGCUUUUCUCAAUGUGAUCUCUGCAACAGAUUGUGAUGGAACUAUGGAAGGAUUCUGCAUCCUCAUGUUGGUGGGUUAUGGCAAUGGUUGCUACUGUUUGCUAUGUAUGAUUUGAAUUUAAUAGAUGCUCAUGUUUCUCCUGUCUCUUUCUCUUUUUUUUUUUUUUUUUCUCUCAAUAAAAAUGAACCAUUUUAUCGAAUUUCUACUGGGCUUGAAGGUGCAUAUGCAGUAGUGGUAGUACUAUUAAAGCAGGGGUUCAAGCAAACAUUUACUUGAACCCAUUGGAGCCCAAAUGGCCCAAAGUCUGUAACAAAAGUUAAAAGGUGAAGACAAUUGCACCCUCUGCCUUUUCCUGAUACUUAGAUUCUCAAAGCAUCACACUUUCCGGAAUGAGAACUUUAAAAGAGUGUUAAAGUUUGAAGGGGACUGAUGAUUGUAGGAGGGCCAUGCGGUUGGGGGGUGCGGAGGCACUACUGGGCAAUUGUGUGCUCACUUUCCUCCUGUUUUUCCAAGUCUUUCUCCGACUUGCAAUCCUUUCUCUGGUCUGAGUUGGAUGAAAACAAGACCAAGGCUAACAGUGGCGGCAGACCCCCAAGCUGAUGAAAAAGAUAUUAACGGAUAAGAAUGGUCAUUUUGUAAAGCCACGAAUGGAACACCCUCUGCUUGUUCUUCUACAGCUGGGAGUCUCAACCUUGGAAGGAGGGAAAGGGGCCAUUCGCAGAAGGCUGAUAACAACAGCUUUUCACCUUGACAAGCUAAAGGUGCUUCCGCUGCUCCACAUGCGCGCACCAAAUCUUCAACUCUACUUUAGGUAUCCAUGCUAUUACAUGAAGUAUUGAGACUUCGACUGCUCUCUUUCGGCAUACUAGCAAGAAAACUAGCAUGGGAAGGAUGUCGAUCCCUGCUGGGGCAGACCUUCUCUUACCUACAUUGUUCGACUAGUUAUAAAACCAGAGACAUUUGCUAAAGGAGUUUCCAAAGGCAUCAAAGAAUCAAAUCGCCUUCUAUUUAUUUGGUUGGGGUACCAGAUUUUGUCUAGGCCAAAACUUCGCAAUGAUAGAGGCAAAGAUGGCACUAGCUAUUUCUGGUUCGAGCUCUCUCUUUCUUCAGCCUCAACAUGGUACUCCCAUUUUUUGCACCAGAGCUUAACUUCCCUCCGUGGCAAGGAAUGACAAUAAAUUUUAUCUAUGUGUAGUUUAGUAAGUAUAUUUAGAGAGUAUGGAAAAAAGCCUGUUUGGGGGAGAAUGUUUAAUUUGGCUUCCCACAAGGUGUAAUUUAGUUAGAGCAAGCAUAGUUUUGUGUACUAUAUAUAAGAAAACACAAACAUGUGUAACAUUAGACAUUUUGUUGAGAUAUUUUGUCUUUAAUGCUUAUAAAAAGUUUGGG
rnacentral:sRNA from 1 species